UUGAUGUCACUCUAAAAACAUUUCGUUCGAAGCGCGUCGCAUAAUGCCAACUAAUGUUCCACAUACGUAAUAUCGAUCGAUCGUAUCUGACCGUCUAGCUCUGACCUCGAUGCUUAACUUUAUUCAGCAUUGAUUAUUUUUGUCUCUUCGGAAGAAUAGUAAAACCGCAUAAUUAUGCGUAGUGCAACCAUAAGUACUGGUUAACGACCGUAAAAUCAUAUAACUUCCGGGCAUAAUGCUAAAACGUAAUGUUUAUUUGUAACUCGACACGUGAAAGGAUGUCAAACAAAUCAUUUAUGAUCGGCGAUUGAUUUAUGAUUAUCGAACUUUGAGACAAAUAAUGCUCCUUCGACAGAACUCCUCCGUUUUUCUCAUUAUCUCCAAGCCAAUCGAAAUAUAAUUAUUGCUGGAAAAAAUAUUUUUGUUCCUAUGUCUCAUCUUUAACGCAAUCAUGUUUUAAAAAUGAUUUCAACUAUCGAAGAAAUAAGGAACACGUGACUUUUGAUAAUUCGAAGUUAGCAAGUGAUCGAUGGAAGAAUGUUUAAAUCGUAUCCUUUUCUUUCUCGAAAAGUUUCAACGUAGUAGAAAGUUCGUAAUUCUUAAGGGUAAGCAGUAACUCGUAAGCUCACACGUUUCUCCAGAGGGUGGACAGGUGCGCGCUUCAGUCGGCCGUCUGACCUCUAACCGAUAACGUGCGUUAAAAUAUGCUCAAGUGAAACGUUCUUUUACCGCUCGAAGAAAAAAAACCUUAUAGAAUUAAAUAACAUUUUCGAGCCUACUAUGAGAAGAUACGAAUUCAAGAGAUUCUAUUUUUUUCGCAUGACUCACUCGUUAUUUUUCACACGUUCUUCUGUCACAAACAAUUUUCCAAAUUUAUGAACUUUAGUUAAUUAAAGGAAAAACCUUAGAAAAGUGGAGAAAGAGAGUAAAAAGGAAAGAAAAAGUACGUUUUCUAUGAUACUCGAGCUGAAAGAUUUCUUUGAUCUUACUAUCGUACAACUUUACUUUAUUAAUUUGUUUAACGUAUUACGAAUUAAUAAAUUAGUAAGAUGACGCAGUACAGUAGCAGUGGAAGUAGCAGUAGCACAAGUAGCAAUGGCCAUCGUGAUUUUAAAGAUCGAUCAUCGAAAGCGAUCGAAGAAAAAUUAAGGGUCGCUGUACGUAUAAGGCCCCUUACACCAGGCGAAACCUGUGGUAGAACUCUUUAUGCUAUUAACGAUAAGAUGGUUAUGCUAGAAGAAAUGGUCGGUGAGAAGUCAAAACGUUCUUUUCCACGACAAUAUCUUUAUGAUAUUGUUUUUGGCGAAGAUGCAACACAGGAAGUUGUGUACGAAGGUACAACGAAAAAUUUAGUCCAAGAUGUUCUCAAUGGUUACAAUGCUACGGUCUUUGCGUAUGGAGCUACGGGAGCUGGAAAAACGCACACUAUGGUUGGAACCUCGUCCGAUCCAGGGAUCAUGGUUCGAGCUUUGAACGACAUUUUUCUAACGACCCAGAAACUAAUGAACAACGUAGAAUUUACUGUUACUAUGUCAUACGUAGAGAUAUACAAUGAGAACAUCCGCGAUCUGUUGAAUCCUACCACAGGAUAUUUGGAGUUGCGUGAGGAUUCUCGAGGUCGCAACGUUCAAGUUUCGGGUCUUACGGAAGUGUCUACUAAUUCGACCGAGGAAGUCAUGCAACUCCUUCACAAAGGCAAUAAAGCAAGAAUGGUAGAGCCGACGGCUGCAAACGAAACCUCUUCGAGGAGUCACGCUCUCCUUAGUGUCACAGUCAGACAAUCCUCUUCUCCCGUUAAAGAGUCCGGGCAACGUCUUCGCACGAAAUUGAAGCAGGGUAGACUCUUCAUGAUAGAUCUCGCUGGUUCGGAGAGAGCCAAACAAACUCAGAACAAAGGUAAACGUCUUCAAGAGGGUGCGCAUAUUAACAGAUCAUUAUUGGCACUGAGCAACUGCAUCAAGGCGUUAUCCGGUGGAGCGAGAUUCGUGAAUUAUCGUGACUCCAAAUUGACCAGAUUGCUUAAAGAAGCUCUCGGUGGUAACUGUCGUACCGUUAUGAUAGCUCAUGUUUCGCCAGCGAACGUGCACCGCGAUGAGAGUAAAAACACUUUGAAUUAUGCGGAUCGGGCGAACAAGAUUUCGAACAAGGUAGAAAGAAAUGUUCUUGACGUUAGUUAUCUUCACGUUGCCCAAUAUCAGGACAUAAUCAGUGAUCUGAAGAGCGAGAUAUCGCGUCUGCGUAAUAAAAUGAAGGAAGAUAGGCCUACGGAUAGAUACGAGGAGAAGGAGCAUGACGGUCAUGGUUCAGAUUUCAGAUCUUUGAGAGAGAAAAUUGUAUCCGCUUUUAAAGAACAAAUGCGCUUGAGGAAGAAACUUAUGGAACUGGAUAGUCAUCUCCUGGGAUUAAACAUCGCUGCGGAGCAACAGCAUUCGAUAAUCUCUCAGUGGGAAUCAAGGAACAAUAGGGUAUACGGGUCGAGUAGAGAUUCGGUAAAUCGUCGUCCUGGAACGGAUUAUCAAGUGGAAGAAGUCGAUGACAUAGGCAAGUGUAGGAUGUCUCAUUAUGGAAAUAAAAAAAGAAAACAAGAAAAAAAGAAAUCAGUACCUUUUAAAACGAAGAUUCAAAAUAUGUCGUUCUUAGAUCUUCUAGAGGAUAUUGAUUUCGAAGAUGAUUCAUUGGUACAGCAGGCUUGGGCGGAAUUGGCAGAGAUUUCGAAGGAACAGGAAAGGUACGUUGAAAUGCGCGCCGCUACGGAAAAGGAGCUAGAGGCUUGUAGGAAACGAAGUGCCGCGCUAGAAGACGAACUCCCAUCCCGUAUAAAUUCGGACGAAGAACGUGAGCUUUUAGCAUUGAUGUUAAGAGUCCACGAACUGGAAGCAGACAAAAUGAUGCUUCAGAGCGAGAGGCUCGUGAAGCAACACGAACUUCGAAGACGAGAGCUUCUUCUUCUUCGUUAUGAUCGGCAAAGGCAAAUCUCUGAUGAGAUAAUCACAAGACAGAGACGAAUAAUGGAGGAUGGACGUCUGACUCUGCCACCGGAUUUACAAAAUCUUUAUGCGCUCUAUCAACAAGAGAUACAAGCUGCUACGUAUGUAGACAGUAAUCUGGCAGAUCUGACAUUCUCAUCCCUGGCAUUUGGAGCUAAACUUCCACCUAUAUCUAGUAGAUUGAGUUAUGACACUUUUAACAACGACAGCAGAAUACCAAGCAGUUCUACAGAUUCUGAUUGGGAUCAAUCGCCCUUACCACCGAUUCAAGAACCACCCGAUGUGGAAAGAGUAAUGGGUCCCGUAGUACAGCCUUUAAUCUCUCCAGCAGUUCUCUUCCCACCGAUUCCAUCCUCAAACUCGAGAAAUCAGUAAGAAUAUAGUGGGUCGUAUGUUUUCCGAUUAGAAAACUCCGGCGUAUAGCCAGCGACGAUAGCAUGGAUUCUGUAAGAUUUUCACAAGGAAACAAUAUGCGAUAUAAUACAUUAAGAAGAACGGACGAACGAGAAACCCCGAGCUGAAAUCGAAGCUGAAUUUUUGAGACUUUCGACGUCUUUCACGCGCCGUAUUUUCAAAUUUACGGUGUUCCACGUGCUCAACAAUCGCCUCUUUGUCGUUUUGAUUGAUGAUUUGAUUACUGGUCGCUAUACGACUGCUUCUCAAUCUUCUACGAAGUAUUCUAGGAUCGUUUUGAGGAUCGAUGAUCUCACGGAAGAUACUAAAAGCACGAAAUCUUUCCCGAGGAUUCAUAUUCGGCGAAUACGCUUGUUCCCAUAUUGACAAUGUCCAAUCAUUAAAUAUCUCCGAUGAUUUUCUACGAUACUUGCUCUCCGUGUAACGCUUAUGAUUUCUUGAUAAUUUGUUCUUGAACUCGUCUUUUUUAUCAUCGUUCGUUGUCUAAGAAAUGAUUGUUGAUCGACCGUUUAACUUAACAAUUAUAAAAGAUGAUAUUUUUCAUGAAUAGUAAUUUAGAAACGGGUUGAACGAUUCUAAUAUAUAAAGCGACUAUUAAAAGGAGAUACUCUCACUUUUUCAACGGAGGAAGAUGUAACUAAUUUAAUAGAAUCUUUCUCGUGUUUGUCAUCACGUACUACUUUCAAUUGAGGUAAUUCGAUCGUCUUGUCUUUGGUCAUCGAUGUGUAUGCCGUCGCGUUGUCCCUGUUAUUCGAUGGAAUCAACCAUUGCUCUAAGGUCGAAUUUUCAAUAUUCCACAUAUUCAAUAGCAUAUCCCAAUCUUUUUUUCUGUCUUUCCAAUAUGUUAUGGUCUGACCGAAUAUCAAAUUGCCGACACAUAACGUACAACGACCGAAGGACUACACUAUCGAAGUAAAUCGAUUGCCAAUUAAAUUGGGCGAUAAUAUAGAAAUAAAAUGAUAGGUGGUUAUAUGAUUUGCAUAUAGAGACGUUAAGCCAAAAGCUUAUUUCCAAGAAAUAUUUGCAGAUCUUACCGAUUUCGGCCUUAUUUCCGCGUCGACCAUAUCAUAAUAACGAAACUUCUCCAUCUUAUUUACGAUUCCAUUUACAAUACUAUUGAAAUACAUUUUCAUUGCUUUUUGGCAUUUUCCAGUCAUAUACAUUGGAAAUGUUUGUUCCAAGUAUUGCAAAAAACUUGUCUCGAAAUUCUAAAGAUAAAAUAAAUAUUUAUAAUUUUACGAACAGAGUAUACGCAUUUACUGAUGAUACUAUUAGACAACUAAUGGUUAUUUAGAUAAUAGUCGAAUAUUCAUUAACAAAAUUAAUAACGCGCUCAAUAAUUUUGUAAAAAUGUCUUCGUGAGUCGUAUUAUAUAUUUAUAUAGUAAUAAACUAUUGAAUUGCAUUCUUAUGUAGCAAUAAUUAUUAUUAGUCACCAUAAUGACAUACUGUCAUAUCUUCUUUAUUUAAGCGCAUAUCUUUGUGAACCAUUGCGACAUAACCAACCAAACGAUCCAAUUGCUUUCGAUUUUUGUAAACAUCUAAUAUAAGGUAUCCUAUAGCCUCCAUAAUCAGUGUGAAUUUCGCGCAAAGCCGAAUGUUCACGCCAAGAGGAACAUGUGGAUUCAAGGUAUAAUACUUUAUAUACUGUGGAUGGGUUCUAAGAAAGCUAAAGAUCUUUUUUAUUUUUAAACAUAUAUCAUUUCAAUUGGUAAUAGUUUUGAAGAUAUUAGUUAUUAGACAAACCUUGUAAAAAAUAAAUUUCCAUAAUGCUGA